CCCUCGGGGACUGCGCGGCCGCUGCCGCGAGGAGGCGCCGCCGCCCCGCGCCGGGGCUCAGGCGGGACCGGGAGCGCAUCCCCGUCCCCGCUUUCCCUCUGAACCCCGCUCUCCCUGUUUCCCCGCGGGUUUCCCCGCGGAUUUCCCUCCAGAUUUCCCUCCUUUCCCCCUUUCACCCCAUUUCCCUUUUUUUCCCUCUGUUUCACCCUGCUUUUUCUCUGUCUCCUCCGUUUCUCCUGUUUCUCCCUGUUGCCCCCCGCUUCUUCUCUUUUUCCUCCUUUCCCCCGUUUUUCCUGUUUUCUCCCGUUUUUCCUUCUUAUCAUCCCCUUUUUACCCUUUGCCUUGUUUUUACUCUGUUCCCCCUUUUCCUCUUUUCUUAUUUUUCCUCUUUUUACUCUUUACUCCUCUUCCUUUUAUCUCUUUUACCCUUUUUUCAUUCCUCCCCACUUUUCCCCUAGUCUUCCCCUCUUCCUCCUCAUUUUCCUCCCUUUAUUUCCCCUUCCCCACAUUUUAUUUCCAGUUUUCCCGUCUUCCCCUCUUGUCCCCUACUUUUCCCAUUUCCCCCUUUUUUCCUUCUUUUCCCUUUUCCCCUUCUUUUCCUCUCUCCCUCAACUCUUUUCUCCCCUUUCCCCCUCCUUUUAUCCCCCGCUUUUCCCCUUUUUCCCUCGUUUCCCCAUUAUUUUCCCUCCUUUUUCCCAUUUCCUCCUCUUCCCCUCUUUGUUUUCUCUUUGCACCACCCCCUUGUUUUGUUUUUUUUUUGUUUUUCCCUUUUCUCCAGGGACCUCGUAGGAUCCCAGAUCCCACCCCAGCACCCAUCCAGACAACCACUUCAGACCAGCGCAUGGCCCAAAUCCUGCCCUUUCCAACCCAAAAUUGCCACGUCCGGUGACAACAUCACCUCUGGGACAGAGGUUGGGAACCAGCGCGGAGGCCACGGAAUGCUGGCAUCCCUCACCCCGGAGCUGAGGCUCCAUUUGGGAUGGAUGGCUCCCCAUUUCACAUCCCACCCCUCGGCCCUGGAUCCCUAUCGUUUGUGGAUGGGUCCCCCAUUCCAUGUCCCGCCCCUCAUCCCCGGAUCCCUCAUAUUUUGGGAUGGGAUGGGAUGGGAUGGGAUGGGAUGGGAUGGG
rnacentral:lncRNA from 1 species